AAGAAAGUAAGCAAGGGCGCAUGGCGGAUGCCUUGGCUCUCGGAGGCGAUGAAGGACGUGAUAAGCUGCGAUAAGCUUCGGGCAGGUGCAAAUAACCUUUGAUCCGAAGAUUUCCGAAUGGGACAACCCGUCAUUCUGAAGGAAUGACAUCUUGCAUAGCAAGAGGCUAACGCAGGGAACUGAAACAUCUUAGUACCUGUAGGAAAAGAAAAUAAUAAUGAUUCCCCUAGUAGUGGCGAGCGAACGGGGAUUAGCCCAAACCAAUGUUGUUACGGCAAUAUUGGGGUUGUAGGACCACGAUGUCGCAAGAAAUUUAGUGAGAAGAACCCUUUGGAAAAUGGGACCAUAGACGGUGAUAGUCCGGUAUUCGAAGCUAAAUGAAGCGUAGUGGUAUCCUGAGUAGCGCGGGACACGAGGAAUCUUGCGUGAAUCUGCCGGGACCAUCCGGUAAGGCUAAAUACUCCCGAGAGACCGAUAGCGAACCAGUACUGUGAAGGAAAGGUGAAAAGCACUUCGAAUAGAAGAGUGAAAUAGUCCCUGAAACCGUGCGCCUACAAGCGGUCGGAGCUGCUUCAGCAGUGACGGCGUGCCUUUUGCAUAAUGAACCUACGAGUUACUUUUUCCGGCAAGGUUAAGGAUCUUGAGAUCCGCAGCCGAAGCGAAAGCGAGUCUUAACAGGGCGAUUAGUCGGAAGGAGUAGACGCGAAACCAAGUGAUCUACCCUUGGUCAGGUUGAAGGUUAGGUAACACUAACUGGAGGACCGAACCGAUAAGCGUUGAAAAGCUUCCGGAUGAACUGAGGGUGGGGGUGAAAGGCUAAUCAAACUUGGAGAUAGCUCGUACUCCCCGAAAUGCAUUUAGGUGCAGCCUUGGGAAUUACUACUGUGAGGUAGAGCGACUGAUAAGAUGCGAGGGCUUCACCGCCUAUCAAGUCUUGAUAAACUCCGAAUGCGCAGUAGUUCGAUCCCAGGAGUGAGGGCAUGGGUGCUAAGGUCCAUGUCCUAAAGGAGAAGAAUCCGGACCAUCAGCUAAGGUCCCGAAAUAAUUGCUAAGUUGAACUAACGAAGUCAGAUUGCUAAGACAGCUAGGAUGUUGGCUUGGAAGCAGCCAUUCAUUUAAAGAGUGCGUAACAGCUCACUAGUCGAGGAGUUUGGCGUGGAUAAUAAUCGGGCAUUAAGCAAUUUACCGAAGCUAUGGGAUCCGUAAGGAUCGGUAGGGGAGCAUUCCACUCUGCGUCGAAGGUGAAGCGUGAGCUUUGCUGGAGCGUGUGGAAAAGCAAAUGUAGGUAUAAGUAACGAUAAAGGGGGGUGAGAAACCCCCUCGCCGAAAGACUAAGGUUUCCUGAUCAACGCUAAUCGGAUCAGGGUUAGUCGGGUCCUAAGGCUCAGCCGAACGGUGAGGCCGAUGGCAGAACAGGUUAAUAUUCCUGUACUACCUUAAGGAGUGACGUGGAGACGGAGGAGUGACAGCGCCGCGGACUGACGGAAUAGUCCGUUGAAGGGUGUAGAUGUUGAUUAUCCCAGGCAAAUCCGGGAUAAGAGUCGAACCUGAUAGUAUACCAAAUUCUUCGGAAUAAGGUAAUAGUGCGUGUAAGCAUACUCCCAAGAAAAUCCGCUAAACUUAAUCUUUAAGGUACCCGUACCGCAAACGGACACACGUAGUCGGGUUGAAUAUACUAAGGCGCUUGAGUGAUUCACGGUUAAGGAACUAGGCAAAUUGACCCUGUAACUUCGGGAUAAAGGGUCCCAACGAGAGUUGGGCGCAGAGAAUAGGUCCAGGCAACUGUUUAACAAAAACACAGGGCUGUGCCAAAUUGAAAGAUUACGUAUACAGCCUGACACCUGCCCGGUGCUGGAAGGUUAAGAGGAGAUGUCAUCGCAAGAGAAGCAUUGAAUUGAAGCCCCAGUAAACGGCGGCCGUAACUAUAACGGUCCUAAGGUAGCGAAAUUCCUUGUCGGGUAAGUUCCGACCUGCACGAAUGGUGUAAUGAUCUGGACACUGUCUCAACCGUGAGCUCAGUGAAAUUGUAGUAUCGGUGAAGAUGCCGAUUACCCGCGAUGGGACGAAAAGACCCCGUGAACCUUUACUAUAGCUUAACAUUGAAUUUGGGUAAUUGAUGUGUAGGAUAGGCCGGAGACUUUGAAGCAGGUACGCCAGUAUUUGUGGAGUCGCUGUUGAAAUACGGCCCUUUGAUUAUUUGAGUUCUAACUCGUUGUUACGAGGACACUGUUUGGUGGGUAGUUUGACUGGGGUGGUCGCCUCCAAAAGUGUAACGGAGGCUUCUAAAGGUGCCCUCAGGACGAUUGGUAACCGUCCGUAGAGUGUAAUGGCAUAAGGGCGCUUGACUGGGAGACAGACAAGUCGAUCAGGUAGGAAACUAGAGCAUAGUGAUCCGGUGUUUCCGUAUGGAAGGGACAUCGCUCAAAGGAUAAAAGGUACUCCGGGGAUAACAGGCUGAUCCCUCCCAAGAGCUCAUAUCGACGGAGGGGUUUGGCACCUCGAUGUCGGCUCGUCACAUCCUGGGGCUGGAGAAGGUCCCAAGGGUUGGGCUGUUCGCCCAUUAAAGUGGCACGCGAGCUGGGUUCAGAACGUCGUGAGACAGUUCGGUCUCUAUCUAUCGUGGGCGUAUGAAAUUUGCGUGGCUCUGACACUAGUACGAGAGGACCGUGUUGGACUGACCGCUGGUUUACCAGUUGUGCCGCCAGGUGCAUUGCUGGGUAUCUAAGUCGGGAUUGGAUAAGUGCUGAAAGCAUCUAAGUACGAAGCCAGCCACAAGAUUAGAUUUCUUAGGGUCGUCAAAGACGAUGACGUUGAUAGGAUGCAGGUGUAAAGGUGGUAACAUCAAAGCCGAGCAUUACUAAUUGCCCGUUCACUUUCUUUC
rnacentral:rRNA from 1 species